CACGCAGGCGGAUCGUUAAGUCAGGGGUGAAAUCCCGAGGCUCAACCUCGGAACUGCCUUUGAUACUGGCGAUCUUCGAGUCCGGGAGAGGUGAGUGGAACUCCGAGUGUAGAGGUGAAAUUCGUAGAUAUUCGGAAGAACACCAGUGGCGAAGGCGGCUCACUGGCCCGGUACUGACGCUCAGGUGCGAAAGCGUGGGGAGCAAACA
rnacentral:rRNA from 1 species